rnacentral:tRNA from 1 species
GCCAGUGUAGCACAGCGGUAAGGAGCAGGGCUCGUAACCGAAGGGUUGCUGGUUCAAUUCCCCACUGGGG